GUUUACAAAUGUUUGUUAUGCACAACUUCUGACUGAUAUGGACACAACUAUCCUUUUAUGUGCAAAUCUAUUUAGAACGCUAUCUUACCCCAUACUUUUUGGGCCUUGUAGGGUGGUACAGAAAGUUUAUUCCUAGGUUUGUAGAGUGUUCAGCUGUGUUGAACAACCUCACCAAAAGCAUGUCACCAAAUAAGAUUCAAUGGACAGACCAGCCAGAACCAUUCCCGAGCCAACAUCCAGUCUUUACAAUAAACUUUCUAAACUAAGCAUCUGUCUCCAUGGUUGCCCUCCUUCUGUAAACAUAACUCCCCCUACCUCUGUUUCCCCUUUAGCAGCCCGAUCGUUUGCAGCUCUCACGUCGUCUUCCUCACACGGCGUCAGGGUUUUCACGCCCGUCCCCGGACCAUUCUCCGGUGAUCUGAAACCCCAGUCAACACAGGCAGCACGUCCGCCUGGUUCUGCAACGUCUUCUCGAGAAUCGCCUAUUUGUGAAGGCGGAGAAAUGUGAAUUUCACCAGAGCACCAUCAGUUUCCUCGGCUUCAUUUUCGAGGGUGGGCAGGUGAAGACGGAUCCCAGAAAAGUCAAGGCAGUGGAGGAUUGGCCUUCCCCCAGGAACUAACCCAGGACUCCCGAGCUACCACACUUCCGAGUCAGAUCUCCGUGAACCAACAGAGACUCAGGUGCUGCUCGUGCCUUGGCCCUCCUGCUGUGCUCACCUGCCUGUCCACCCUCCAACACCGCAGAACCCAGAGAGAGUUCACCAGACCUGCACCUCCUCCCGGUUCCAGGACAUCACCUUUCCCGGACUGGAACUCAGCCUGGAACCCAGUGAGUUCUCCACUGACUAUCAGACACAUCCACUCCUGCUCCUGUUCACCAGUCUCCUCACUCUCUUUCCAGUGGAACCCAGACAGACAGACCAGCCAGAACCCAAGCCAACAUCCAGUCUUUACAAUAAACUUUCUAAACCGAGCACCUUUUUACCGUGGUUGGCCCUCCUUCUGAGUCUCAUUACAUAACCAUGACACUAUGAGGAGAUCAUUAGUGAUUUUUAUUUGGGCAGUUUCAGUACUAUGGGAGGGGCGAAAACUAGACUGGAAAGACACGUAAAGACUGUUGAGGGUAAGAUAGGCGUGGAGUUGAAAAGACACAAUUUUUUCGAGUAUUUUAAAAAUAAAGGGAAGAUUUGAGAUGGAGCAAAGAUUAAUAAAGUUAGUGGGAUCAGAACCAGGUUUCUUCAGAAUCGGGGAAAUAGAUGCAGUUUUGAAAAGUGAGGGGACAAUACCAGAGGAGAUAAAGGAAUGAAUAGUGGAAGUAAUGAAGGAGAGGAGGGAGGUGAGACAGGUUUUGACCAGAGCUGUGGGGAGGGGGUCAAGAUAACAGGUAGAGUACUUGGAUUUACAGAUGAGAUCAGAAAUUUUGGACGAAGUGGGCAGUAGGAAGCAGGAAAAUGACUGGCUAUGGAGGAGGGAAAGAGGGGAAGAGGGAGGCAAGGGGGUCAUAUGUAGUUGCUGGCGAAUGGAGCUGAUUUUUUUUAUCACAAAAGAUUAUUAAUGAAUUACAAUUCUGACUUGAAUACAUGUGAG